GGACUACUCGGGUUUCUAAUCCUGUUUGCUCCCCACGCUCUCGCGCCUCAGCGUCAGUUACUGCCCAGGUAGUCGCCUUCGCCACUGGUGUUCCUUCCGAUCUCUACGCAUUUCACCGCUACACCGGAAAUUCCACUACCCUCUACAGUACUCCAGUCAUACAGUAUCAAAUGACAUUCCUAGGUUAAGCCCAGGGAUUUUACAUCUAACUUAUAUGACCGCCUACGCGCCCUUUACGCCCAGUAACUCCGAUUAACGCUUGCACCCUCUGUAUUACCGCGGCGGCUGGCAC
rnacentral:rRNA from 1 species